AUAGAUCACCUACUUUCCAGUUGCGUGUUCUCCCCUAUCACAUGGCACGAGAUUCUCUCAUGGUGCCUGCUCACCACCCCUCCUAUGGACGGCACGGCGACCUUCUUCGCCUGGUGGUCUCUAGCGGCCGAAACCUUCCCGGGCUGCCUGUGCAAAGGACUCAACUCCAUCGUCACGUUUACUGCUUGGGCCAUCUGGAAGCAUCGCAACGCGGCCAUCUUUGACGACAUCCGACCCUCCACCAAAGAUCUGGUCCUAACCAUCAAGGAAGAUGCUCGCCUGUGGGCCAAGACAGGCGCCAAGGGUUUAGCUACCAUCAUACCUGUAGCCUGA
rnacentral:rRNA from 1 species